GAAAUGCGAUAAGUAAUGUGAAUUGCAGAAUUCAGUGAAUCAUCGAAUCUUUCAACGCACAUUGCGCCCGGCAGCAAUCUGCCGGGCAUGCCUGUCCGAGCGUCAUUUCUGCCCUCGAGCGCGGUUCGGCCCCUAGCGGGCCGGCCGCCGCCCGGUGUUGGGGCGCUGCGGGCCCUCGUGCCCGCAGGCCCUGAAAUGAAGUGGCGGUCCCGCCGCGGCGCCCCCUGCGUAGUAGUAAAGCACCUCGCAUCGGGUCCCGGCGGAGGCCAGCCGUCGAACCUCUCUUUUGAUGGUUUGACCUCGGAUCAGGUAGGGUUACCCGCUGAACUUAAGC
rnacentral:misc_RNA from 1 species